rnacentral:rRNA from 1 species
AGGAUGAACGCUGGCGGUAUGCUUUACACAUGCAAGUCGUACGCAAGUUUACUUGAGUGGCGGACGGGUGAGUAACACGUGAGAAUUCACCUUUAGGUGGGGAAUAACUUUUGGAAACGAUAGCUAAUGCCCCAUAUACUCGCAAGAGAGAAAAGAGUAAUCUGCCUAGAGAGAAGCUCGCGGCUGAUUAGCUAGUUGGUAAGGUAAUGGCUUACCAAGGCGACGAUCAGUAGCUGGUUUGAGAGAACGAUCAGCCACACUGGAACUGAGACACGGUCCAGACUCCUACGGGAGGCAGCAGUGGGGAAUUUUCCGCAAUGGGCGAAAGCCUGACGGAGCAAUACCGCGUGAGGGAUGGAAGGCCUUUGGGUUGUAAACCGUCUUUUAUCAAGGAGGAAGUUCUGACGUGUACUUGAUGAAUAAGCAUCGGCUAACUCCGCGCCAGCAGCCGC